UACGGAGGAGGCAAGCGUUGUCCGGAUUUACUGGGCGUAAAGAGCGCGCAGGCGGUCUGAUAAGUCGGAUGUGAAAGCCCCCGGCUUAACUGGGGAGGGUCAUUCGAUACUGCUCGACUUGAAGGCAGGAGAGGGUAGUGGAAUUCCCGGUGUAGUGGUGAAAUGCGUAGAUAUCGGGAGGAACACCAGUGGCGAAGGCGACUACCUGGCCUGUUCUUGACGCUGAGGCGCGAAAGCUGGGGGAGCAAACGGG
rnacentral:rRNA from 1 species